CCUACGGGUGGCUGCAGUAAGGAAUAUUGGUCAAUGGACGAAAGUCUGAACCAGCCAUCCCGCGUGCAGGAUGAAAGCCCUAUGGGUUGUAAACUGCUUUUAGCAGAGAAGAAAAGCUUUCAUUAAUGAGAGUCUGACGGUAUCUGCAGAAUAAGCACCGGCUAACUCCGUGCCAGCAGCCGCGGUAAUACGGAGGGUGCGAGCGUUAUCCGGAAUUACGGGUGCGAAGGGGUGCUAAGGCGGAGUAUGUGAAAUCUUGUCGCUUAACUAUAAAAUGGCCAAUGAUACUGGUACUCUUGAAUUGGGUUGCGGUUAGCGGAAUGUGACAUGUAGCGGUGAAAUGCAUAGAUAUGUCAUGGAACACCAAUUGCGAAGGCAGCUAACUGGGCCUUGAUUGACGCUGAGGCACGAAAGCGUGGGUAGCGAACAGGAUUAGAUACCCGAGUAGUC
rnacentral:rRNA from 1 species